rnacentral:lncRNA from 1 species
AGAGAGAGAGAGAGAGAGAGAGAGAUGCACAUGACAUGUUUAUGAAGAAGACGUAAUGGGCUGGCAUGGGAGGGUUAGGUCAUGGAAGGGUUAGAGUCAACACCUACUCUCUGUACAAAUACGAAAAUGAUGAAGAAAAAACUGAUGGUGGUAGCAACAGAAAGUCAUGGGCAUAUGAACAAGAUUUGGCCAUCAUCACCAUCCUUUUCAAGUCUGCAAUGAUUCCACAUAUAUUUCCAAAGCUUUUGUGCCUUAUCUCCUUAUUUUCGUGGCCCUCAUGAUUCCACAGUUAGCACAAAGUCUUUCGAGGUUUCUGGGUCAGUCUUUUUUUAACUCAAUUCAUAAAUUGAAAAGAAAAAUCACAUGUAACAAACUGAUAUGAUUGUUUCAAAUAAGAAUGAUGAUGAAUUUAUUGGAGCA